UACAGAGGUCCCGAGCGUUGUUCGGAUUCACUGGGCGUAAAGGGUGCGUAGGCGGUUCUGCAAGUCUGAUGUGAAAUCUCCCGGCCCAACCUGGAAAUGGCAUUAGAAACUACAGGGCUAGAGGCUUGGAGGGGGAACUGGAAUGCUCGGUGUAGCAGUGAAAUGCGUAGAGAUCGAGCGGAACACCGGUGGCGAAGGCGGCCCACUGGCUCGAUACUGACGCUGAGGUGCGAAAGCGUGGGGAGCAAACAGG
rnacentral:rRNA from 1 species